rnacentral:rRNA from 1 species
AACGAACGCUGGCGGUAUGCCUAACACAUGCAAGUCGAACGAGAUCUUCGGGUCUAGUGGCGCACGGGUGCGUAACGCGUGGGAAUCUGCCCUUUGGUUCGGAAUAACAGUUGGAAACGGCUGCUAAUACCGGAUGAUGACGAAAGUCCAAAGAUUUAUCGCCAGAGGAUGAGCCCGCGUAGGAUUAGCUAGUUGGUGUGGUAAAGGCGCACCAAGGCGACGAUCCUUAGCUGGUCUGAGAGGAUGAUCAGCCACACUGGGACUGAGACACGGCCCAGACUCCUACGGGAGGCAGCAGUGGGGAAUAUUGGACAAUGGGCGAAAGCCUGAUCCAGCAAUGCCGCGUGAGUGAUGAAGGCCUUAGGGUUGUAAAGCUCUUUUACCCGGGAUGAUAAUGACAGUACCGGGAGAAUAAGCUCCGGCUAACUCCGUGCCAGCAGCCGCCGUAA